rnacentral:rRNA from 1 species
CCCUUAGAUGUUCUGGGCCGCACGCGCGCUACACUGUUCGACGCAGCGAGUCUUAACCUUGACCGAAAGGUUUGGGUAAUCUUCAGCAAAGUCGAACGUGAUGGGGAUCGAUCAUUGCAAUUAUUGAUCGUGAACGAGGAAUUCCUAGUAAGUGCAAGUCAUCAGCUUGCGCUGAUUACGUCCCUGCCCUUUGUACACACCGCCCGUCGCUACUACUGAUUGAAUGGUUUAGUGAGAUCUCUGGAUUGACGCUGGCUAGGGGGCGACCCUUGGCCAGACUGUUGAGAAACUGCUCAAACUUGAUCAUUUAGAGGAAGUAAAAGUCGUAACA